GUUUUUGUGCAUUGUCAGGUGAUGGGUGUGGUUGGACCGUCCAGUGUGGCAGACGGCUUAAAUCCUAAAUAAUAUGUUCCAUACGCCCACUAUCAGGGCUAACUUCUGUUUCCUCCUUUUCCACCAUCCUAGGCCUUAAAGGAUGAUUUCCCUCUCAGUCAUGUGAUCUCACCUUUCACCAAUCAGGAGAGGCGUGAGGGGAUGCUGCUCAACCUGCUCAUUCCCUUUGUAUUGACAGUGGGGUCUGGAAGCAAAGGACGCCCCCUGCUGCCGAUUCCAAAGAAUGAACCACGAGGUCGAGCUUUCCACAACCCGCAGGACCAUCCAGCCCAAAAACAAACCACUGGCGCACGGAGACCGGAAGAGGUCGGUGACCUUUACGGAGAAUCAAGCCUAGCAGGCGUCCAUGGGGGAGGGCAAGCCCCUGACUCCCAGCGUCGCGGCCCCUCCGGCCCCUUCAAAGUCCCUCACGCCGGAGGUCACGUCCACUCCCACAGUCAGCACCGACCUCCACAGCCCUGCAAACAAGCAGGUAGGAGA
rnacentral:lncRNA from 1 species